UAGCUACAGGCUUAACACAUGCAAGUCGAGGGGAAACGAUAUUGGAAGCUUGCUUCCGAUAGGCGUCGACCGGCGCACGGGUGAGUAACGCGUAUCCAACCUGCCCAUCACUUGGGGAUAACCUUGCGAAAGUAAGACUAAUACCCAAUGACGUCUCUAGAAGACAUCUGAAAGAGAUUAAAGAUUCAUCGGUGAUGGAUGGGGAUGCGUCUGAUUAGCUUGUUGGCGGGGUAACGGCCCACCAAGGCAACGAUCAGUAGGGGUUCUGAGAGGAAGGUCCCCCACAUUGGAACUGAGACACGGUCCAAACUCCUACGGGAGGCAGCAGUGAGGAAUAUUGGUCAAUGGACGAGAGUCUGAACCAGCCAAGUAGCGUGCAGGAAGACGGCCCUAUGGGUUGUAAACUGCUUUUAUAAGGGAAUAAAGUUAGUCUCGUGAGACUUUUUGCAUGUACCUUAUGAAUAAGGACCGGCUAAUUCCGUGCCAGCAGCCGCGGUAAUACGGAAGGUCCGGGCGUUAUCCGGAUUUAUUGGGUUUAAAGGGAGCGUAGGCCGGAGAUUAAGCGUGUUGUGAAAUGCAGACGCUCAACGUCUGCACUGCAGCGCGAACUGGUUUCCUUGAGUACGCACAAAGUGGGCGGAAUUCGUGGUGUAGCGGUGAAAUGCUUAGAUAUCACGAAGAACUCCGAUUGCGAAGGCAGCUCACUGGAGCGCAACUGACGCUGAAGCUCGAAAGUGCGGGUAUCGAACAGGAUUAGAUACCCUGGUAGUCCGCACGGUAAACGAUGGAUGCCCGCUGUUGGUCUGAAUAGGUCAGCGGCCAAGCGAAAGCAUUAAGCAUCCCACCUGGGGAGUACGCCGGCAACGGUGAAACUCAAAGGAAUUGACGGGGGCCCGCACAAGCGGAGGAACAUGUGGUUUAAUUCGAUGAUACGCGAGGAACCUUACCCGGGCUUGAAUUGCAGAGGAAGGAUUUGGAGACAAUGACGCCCUUCGGGGCCUCUGUGAAGGUGCUGCAUGGUUGUCGUCAGCUCGUGCCGUGAGGUGUCGGCUUAAGUGCCAUAACGAGCGCAACCCCUCUCCUUAGUUGCCAUCAGGUCAAGCUGGGCACUCUGGGGACACUGCCACCGUAAGGUGUGA
rnacentral:rRNA from 1 species